rnacentral:rRNA from 1 species
GAAUAUUGGUCAAUAGCCUAACGGCUGAACCAGCAACUUGGGGGAAUGUACAGUCGCCUUGGGCGGCUGCUUAUCCGAUUAGUCAGGCGCAGAGGGAGGGUAACUAACUAGUUACCCUCUCCGUACGCAGGACGUACACGUUCCUGCGUACGGGGUAUGUUAUCCUCUCCGGUCGGCAGGGUAGAGCAGGAAACGAUAAAAAGUUUCUCUCGAAGAGCAGGAGGGUGGUACCAAUGGCUUGAAUGGCAUGGGGUCAACCCAGGCUAUUCCUGGAAUUGAUGAAUUUAAAGGUCCGGGGGUAAGAGCGAUUUAGUCGAAUAAAGUUCUAGGAAGCAACAAUUGAUUAUGACAAUGUUCUAUCCAUAUAUGUCUUGACCAAAUUACGUGCCAGCAGUCGCGGCAAUACGUAGAAGACUAGUGUUAUUCAUCUUUAGUAGGUUUAAAGGGUACCUAGACGGUAAGAUUAGUCUUAAACAGGAUACGAUUUUACUAGAGUUAUAUAUGAGGAGGGGAGUAUUUAUGGAGUAGAGUUGAAAUUCGGUUAUACCAUAACGACUGGUGACGGCGAAAGCAACCUUUUAUCUAAUAACUGACGUUGAGGGACGAAGGCUUGGGUCACGAACAGGAUUAGAUACCCUAGUAGUCCAUGCAGAGAAUGAUGAAUGCCAUAGGUUAGACCUUUAUUUGGCCUAUAAAUGAAAGUGUAAGCAUUUCACCUCAAGAGUAAUGUGGCAACGCAGAAACUGAAAUCAUUAGACCGUUUACCUGAAACCAGUAGUGAAGUAUGUUAUUUAAUUCGUAGACACGCGAAAAACCUUACCACAACUUGAAUAUUAUCUACCAGAAAUAAAACCUAAACAAUUAAGCUUUUGUAUGGGCAAGAUUGUUUAGAUAUAGUUUCUCUUUAGGGUAGAUAUUACAAGCGUUGCACGGCUGUCUUCAGUUAAUGUCGCGAGAUAUGGGUUAAUUCCCUAGAAUUAACGGAAACCCUUGCUUUAGUUGCCAUUUAAACUAAAGCGGAAACCACCAGAAAAGGUGAGAUAAAAAGGGACCAAGACAAGUCAUCAUGGCCUAAAUGUUGUGGGCUAUAGACG